UCCUCUUCAUUAUUUGCCUGCCAUAGCCAGUCAGGACUGAGAGAGAUACAGUGAUACAGUCCGAGCAGACAGACUGAGUAGAAGCUCGUUGAGGAAGAAAAAAAAGGAAGUUGAAAAUUCGCAAACGGGAAUCGAUUGCAAAUCUUCUACGUGCGUUCAACAAGUACUCCACUGGAACCUGUAUUGUGGGAAAGAGUAGUUUGUCGUUGUUGAACAGGAGUGUGUGUUUCUACAUCAACUCCACCGGCGACUGUGGUUUGCACACCGACCGCCUUGGCAGAGAUUUCUCCGAUACUUCCUCUGUACCAGGGACCGUUCACCGAUGAUGCUACUGCUACAGCCAGCGUAAAAGCACCACACCGUUCUCCCCAUUUAUGGAAACGCUCUGGGUUCUGUAGCGGGGAGGCGGGAAAUUAGACACCUUGCUUCUGCUCCUAACGUCACUCAUGGGACGAUCAGAGAGCGCGGGAAAUCUCCUUCCUUGACGCAUCACAGUCUCGCGGGGCGAGAGGAGAAAAAUGGCGGCCGGCUUUGAAUUGGUGUUUCGGGACUCAAGUGAUUAUUUGGUAGAGAUCUCCCAAGGCGUGGAUGUUACCCAGCGAAAAGUGGCGCUCUGUCGAGUAGGGGAUACUGCGGCCAAACAGAUUGGAAAUUGGAGCAGCCGGAUCGAGGAAAUGUAGGGGAAGAGUGCAGAUAGAUAGAUAGAUAGAUAGAUAGAUAGAUAGAUAGAUAGAUAGAUAGAUAGAUCGAUAGAUAGAUAGAUAGAUAGAUUUGCUUCAGUGACCCAUUUGCAUUCUACCGCUCACCGUUCUUAUAGUUUAAAAUCAAUACGCGUUAGUUUGGCCUUUUGUGUGCCGACAGACAAUAUUAACUCUCCAGAACUUGCACUUGGAUACAGUGUUUAAAAAAGAAAUAAAAUUUGAGAUGGGGAACACAAACAAUAUCAAAAUGUGAAGCAUGCUGACAAAAUAAAAAAUGAGUUGCUUCUCGAAGUCCAUGGAUGGAGAUGUGGGACAAAAAUCGGUACAGGGGUCAAAUUUGUAGAUCAUAAACGGGUGCCAUUUUCUUCAAGCUGAACAUUUCUUUUAUCAUUUCAUACAAAUACGUUUAUAAACUCAACCAAAAUAAUUGACAUAUCUAUGUCCGUAGGGCUAAUAUCGGAGAAGUAACUCAUUUUGUCAGCUCGCCUCACAAAUAGACUUCUCUCCUAUUUUAGAAAUAUUUGUAAUGGGUCUGUUUCCAAAAUACAAGGUCCAGUCUGAUAAACAACACUCACGUAUGGUCCUGCAUCGACGUCUGUUGCGUGGUGUAGCGGUUAGGCUUUUUGCCUUGUACGCAGAAGACCAUAGUUCAAUUCUAAUGUGGUAAGAGUAAUUUGUAUUUUUCUGCUGAUUCGUUGUGUAUUCCUCGUAGAUGAGGGAAUAAAUGUUAAGUUAGAUUCUUUUAGCGUUGAAACUGCUCCAUCCAGUACCUGCAGGCUCGGAUGGGACGCCAUUUUGGUCAAAUGGUCCCUUAUCUACAAAAUCACAUUGGAUGAGGUUGGGUGAGGAAACGAUGCUGUCAAAAGUAUAAUACUACAUCAAAUAAACAUCUUCUUUUCUUUAA